rnacentral:lncRNA from 13 species
AUCAAGCGACACAAGUUGAUGCUUGGGACAAAUGGUUGAUAACAGUUGAUAACAAAUGGGGAGAAAAUACUAAUGCUGAAUCAAGAAGUUGAAAGAGUGAAAAUCGAGUAGCAGCAAUUGGAUUACGUUAUUGGACAACAGAAAGAGUUGCAAGAAUGUUUAAUACCAUUAGAAAAGGAGCUAGCAUCAUUAAGAAACAGUAGCAUCAAGAAGAAACAAUAGCAUUUAUAAUGGACAUAAAAUUUUACAAUAUUUCGGGAGAAAACAUCACGAAAAUUAUUGUCAUCCUUCACUUGAUUUUCCUCAUAAUCUCAGAGUGGGAAUACAACGCCCUGAUUCCAAGCAACCGGGUAUGCGAUUAAGGAUGUACUGGCGGUAAUUGCUGCUGUUUAUUUUUCUACACUCUUAUACAUGUACUUGUACAUAUUCACUAAAUACCUACAAAUUUUUGUAUUGUUAAAUUAAGAUUAUUAGUUUUUACGUUUCGUAAACCUGUUUUUUAAAUUAACUGAUAUUAUUUUUUAGAAACUACUUAAACUAUCUAUUUCAAUUUUCGCAUAUAUAUAUACAUGUAUGUAUGUAUGUAAAAUACAUAUGUGUUUAUCGCAUAAACUAGGAUUACUGCAAUAUUAAUAAAUUAACUACUUUUUUCUUACGCAUACAAUUGAAUCGAUUUUGUUAAAAUCCUUUUUUUUAAAACAGUGCCUUUUUCAUAAUUUACAAUCUUUUUCAUUUAUCCUAGUUUGCGAUAAGCAGACAUAUUAUGUAUGUUACAUAUAUGUAAAAGUAGAAUGCUUUCUAUGAUCGCAGCUAGAUCUUUGUGCUUGUAUUAUUUGUGUGAUUUUAUACUUUCUUCAAAUUCAAUAAACUGUGUGCCGAAUUGUUUUUUCAGUCAUAAUACAGCCCUACAUUGAACAAGAUUUUACUAAUAUCAUUAAAAUUGAAAUUAAUAUUAACUCUUUCCCUCCCC